UUUUCACUUCCCAUACACACACAUACCUCUCUCUCUUUCUCAAAACUCUUCUCCUUCAUCUUUCUUUUCAUAAUUUUUGGAUUUAAAAAAAAGGGUAAGAAACAAGGACAAAACUCAAGUUUAACCAACAAUAAUAAUAAGAAUCUUCUAGGUUUAAGUAAGGGUUGAAUCAAGGUAAGGUUUAAGGGUGUUUUUCAAGCAAAGAAAGGGUUAUUUGAGGCUCUAAAAGGUCACGAAUUUUCUGCAUAUUUUCCAUCUUCAAAAGUGUUCUUCAAGGCUUGCUUAAGGGGCGACACCACUAGACACUCUUCACGCAUUUGAACAGCUCUCUAUCGCUCUCAAAACAAGUUUAGAGCAUUAGGUUCGUAGCUUGGACCGCCUCUUGGAUUUGUGUUGCUUGUUAUUCGGUGAACUUGUAAUGCGGACAUUUUGUUUUUCAUUAUGGAUUAUGGUUAUGUAAUGGAUUCUAAAACGUCAUCUUGAACUUAUUGUCUUUUGAUUUCGAAUGAUAUUUGAAACUUAAUGUUGAUGUUUUAUCUUUAAA